rnacentral:rRNA from 1 species
GAUGGACGCUGGCGGCGUGCCUAAUACAUGCAAGUCGAGCGAACGGACGAGAAGCUUGCUUCUCUGAUGUUAGCGGCGGACGGGUGAGUAACACGUGGAUAACCUACCUAUAAGACUGGGAUAACUUCGGGAAACCGGAGCUAAUACCGGAUAAUAUUUUGAACCGCAUGGUUCAAAAGUGAAAGACGGUCUUGCUGUCACUUAUAGAUGGAUCCGCGCUGCAUUAGCUAGUUGGUAAGGUAACGGCUUACCAAGGCAACGAUGCAUAGCCGACCUGAGAGGGUGAUCGGCCACACUGGAACUGAGACACGGUCCAGACUCCUACGGGAGGCAGCAGUAGGGAAUCUUCCGCAAUGGGCGAAAGCCUGACGGAGCAACGCCGCGUGAGUGAUGAAGGUCUUCGGAUCGUAAAACUCUAUUAUUAGGGAAGAACAUAUGUGUAAGUAACUGUGCACAUCUUGACGGUACCUAAUCAGAAAGCCACGGCUAACUACGUG